GCCUGGGUGGCUCAGUCGGUUAAGCGUCUGACUUCAGCUCAGGUCAUGAUCUCAUGGUUCGUGGGUUUGAGUUCCACAUUGGGCU
rfam:Felis catus isolate Cinnamon breed Abyssinian chromosome A2, whole genome shotgun sequence.